AACCACAGCCAUGGUUCAUGCACCAAGGUUUCUCCAGGGCACAUAACUGAGCAAUGUUGCAGUGAAGCAAAAGCCCAUGUUUAAAUACUGGGAGUGGGAGAAGGAACUGUUUUGGUGCAAGGCAAACCGUCCAUUUGUAGACAUUGCAAGCUGAAAGCAUUCAAGCUGUAGCCAGGAGUGUAUUCGCAGCUGAGUGGACAUUACUGACGAAUGGAGAUCCUGGUAGAUCCUCAGGAGCAAAAGUGAAUGAUAGAGGGAGGGAGGCGCUGGUCUCCCUUGCCUUAACUCUGCUUUGGCUGAGCAUGCCAGGCACCCCGGAUAAUGGCAGCUUCCACCUGACGCCUGUUGAACUGAAGCCGGUGGGAUGUCCAAGGGCAGCAGAUGGUCUUCAUCCAGGGAAGAGUCCAAGACCCAUUAAGGGCGAAGGGGGCCUGCCAGGGCUUUAUGGGCAUGGGCUGGUUCACUGUUCAGCACAGUAUGGCUCAGACACAGCUGCCAGGACCAGCCAACCAGGGAUGCAAUGAGGUUUUGUAUUUUAGUGCCUUGGCCAAAACAUAUAAAAGUAAUGCCUUGUGUCUUGCCUCUCAUUUUCCCUAACUGGAUUGUGGAGCUCCUGCUGCUGCUGUGCUGCUCAGCUGCUUCCCACUGGCCUUCUCCAUCUCUUGCAUGCCCUUUGAGCUGUAUGAUGGACUGGAGAGGCCUAGGAGACAAUCUCCACUCAGGGCCCAUCCACAUUUUGGUUUGUUCCAUGAUGUCUAGGCAUGGGUCCAAAAGGUUCUGUUCUGUUCUGCUUUCCCUGGGAAAACCCACUGUUUACUACUGAAUGGAAACAAAACAUCAAUUGGGUUUUCCAUGGAAUGACAUUUGUUCCGAUUCAGCAGCAAACAGCGGGUUUUCUUGGGGAACAAAAGAAAAACCUAUUGGACCCAUACCUAGAAGUAAUGCAACAAACAGAAGAAAUCACAGGACGAGCAAAAGUGUGGAUUGAGCCUGUCCGCCUUGAAGUUCCUUGGGCCAUCCAUCCAUGAUAAAACCAAGGAGAGAGAAAAUACCAGUGCCUUGUACCCUGAGUUCCUUGGUGGAUGGGCAAGGUAUAUAUAAACCGUAAAUUGGCAUUUCUCUUCCAUUUUCUCUGAGGGCUGGCCUCUGGCUCCUUCUCUCUUUGAGCCUGCACCUGUCGGCAACAUCCCUCAUUUUGCUGCCCAGCCCUUUCCUUGAGCCCUUGAUCCUCCAUGGAGCAGCAAGAUCUGAAUGCAUCACAAUCUGGGUAGAAGGGAGGGAAGGAAUUGCAAGGUGUUCCCCCUCCAGACUUGUGUUUCAUUGCAGGUAUAUUUCCCAACAUGUUCUUGGCACAAGAAUUAGCGGUGGUUUUAGUCUGCUUUAUUAGUUGUUGCAAUGCUUCCCCGAGGCUACCGCAUUAUUGCUGUCCAGAGGGGCUAUAGCACAAACGUAGCAGGACAAAAAUAAACCAGAGCAUUUGUGGUAUAAAAAAUGAUGGGAUUUCAGCAGGAAGUUGUGGGAUAUGCAUUGACUGGAAAUGAAACACUGCAACUGCCCAAAAGCCUUUGCCCGCACUACUGAAAGUGGAAUUGCUUGUGACUGCCCCAAUAGCACCGAGAACACAAAUCAUCAUGAAUGUGCAAUUAGAAAAGAUGUCUGGAGUGGUCCUAAUUCUACUGGGUGGAUUCAACUUUUACCCAAUUCCUUGGAAAACCACAAGAUGUGGUGCCCAUGGUACUUGCUCAAAAACCCAUGUGUGCUCUCAUUCCUAAAAAGGUCAGUGAACCCUAGAAGGUGACUAGCAGAAGUAUAAGCAUAGACAACACCCGCUGUUUUGUGUUUUGUUUUACUGCCCAGAAUUGCCCAACUGUUCCUUACUCGCUCACCCUUAAGCAGUGUGACCACCCCAAAACAUUUGUGGGUGCAAACAGUAUUGAAAUUGGAUUGCGGGUUUGACCACUCCGAUAGCAUCAGGAACACAAACCAUCAUGAAUGUGCAAUAAAUAGGACAUCUGGAGGGGCUCAAAGCUGUAGUUUCCUGGUUUCAGAGGAACAGAAAUAGAAGUGCAUAGAGCAGGUAUGGGGAACCAGUUGCCAGGAAGGAUGUUAGUUGUAGUUCAUCAACACCUGGAGGACCACAGGCUCCCCACACCUGGCUUAGAAAUAUCUCAUCCAGGUAGUACUGCAGCAGAAGAGCUGUCCAUACAAAACGGCUGCCCUAGGCUGUCCCCUAUGAGAAUCUUCUAUUCUUAAAUCCGGGUUUUUUUCUUAUUGCCAUGUAUAAGAUGCAAGGUCACUGCAGGCCAAAUGGAGAGUUGUUCCUGGUGUCCUUUCCUUUAUUUGGCUUGUGCUUGGGGCUGCAAAUGCAUCUGCAAGUCCAGGGGGUCGGGAUGCAGUGCCAGGACGUGCCCCAGCAGCAGCGCGAUGCCAGCUGCCCGACAAAACACUCCCCGUGAUGGAUGGUGCCAAGGCCAGGACAGAACAGGACCCAUUGUUCCCUUCUGGAGUCAGACGGAGGGACGUCUGCAGAUGCCCUUGUUCUUGUUUCCCCGAACACUGUUCCCCUUAACGCAUUGAUUCAGGUUGUUUUGAUGUAUGGCCAGUCCUCCUGUCCUAGGGGGCUUUCAGGCAGGAUCGUAGACUCGCAGAGGGCAGGGAAGGAAACCUGAAGAUCUGACUCUCCAAAACUCCUGCCCAGAGCCUUCUGCACUAACCCUCCUGUUCCCCAUGUAUCAAGACAGCAGUCGUAAACAGAGAAGAGAAGCCUCUGUUCCCAGAAGACUCGCAGUUGAAGGGCACAAAUGACUUUAUGCCCAUCUGCAUGCUACAGAUGGGAGACAGUGUGUGCGUGAUGGCGAGCUGAGCUUGGGUAGAGUGAUCCACGCAGGCAAAAGAGCAUGAUGGGGCGUGGUGCUUGCAGAUGUGGACAGUUUUGCAGCCAUCAAUCAUUGGGGUUCUGCUUUAAGCUGCAAGUGGAAUAGUCACUCUUCUUCCAGACUUCUGGAAUCCUGAGUGACAUCCUUCAGCCAGGUGGGUAUUGCCGCCUUUCCCUGUCCCCAUCUUCUGUGUGUGACGGAGGGAUUUUUUUAAAAAAGGGACCAUGUUGUGCGUGUGUGUGUGUGUGGCAGGGGAAGGGUUGUUGCACUCCUAAUCAUGAUUGCCCCUACCACUUCAGUUGGGGAUGGGGAGAAUAGAUGUGGAUAUAAAGAUAAAUCUGUUUAGAAAGGGAGGGUUAAUUCCUAAAGAGGAGAGAUGAUCCAGAGAGAAGGACUUGGCUAGUGCCAUGUAUACAGGCUCUAACUGCCCCCUUCCCCACGCUUGCAACUACUAUAAAGCUACACAACGGAUCAUCUACACCUGACAUCCAUGCCAUUGCGGGGGUUUAACGUUUGGUUUUCUCAGCAGAAGCAAAACCCGGAAGUUCAGCAGGGGGUGGGGAAAUGUGGGAGGGAGAACGUUUUGCUCACAUAAAAAGUGAGUGAACAAAGCAUGGCUAUUCUGUAGUAAAUGCUCAGUGUGGAAGCUGCCUAAGAAGCUGAAUCACUGCGGGCAGUUUUUGCUGGACCAGGUAAAACCCUAUUGGCCCUUUGUACCACCCAACUCUGAGCCAGUAACUGCAAUGCCACCACCUGGUCACCCACUAGUGGUGGUGCUGAAGAACAGCCAAGAGAGAGCCAAGUGUGUGCGUCCUGCUCCUAGAGUCCUCUGGCACAAGUCUAGUUGAGAGAGAGAGAGAGAGAGAGAGAGAGAGAGAGAGAGAGAGAGAAACUUUUAGAGAACACUCUUAGUUUCUGGGUCUUACCGGAAGGGAUUUGAAGCCGCACAAAGGCAGAGGGCAUCUGAGCUUCAAACCUUUCUGGGACUUGCAGAGCAGAACUGAGGAGUCCUGUCCAAACCUUUCCUCCCUCUGCUACAUUGAAAGUUUGUGACCCCUUUCAACUCCGGGGAGGGGGGAAGGAUUCUGCCUGCCUCGAGGGGCUGAGGGGAACACAGUGCAUUGAAUGCCAGAGAGGAGGGGGGACAUAUUUUCAAAGCUAAGCUCUAUCCCAUUGGCUGGUAUUGAACUAUGGUUGCCUGCCAGGGACUCCAUUCUGCCCCCCAUCCGUCUCGGCACACACAGUCCCCGUGGCAGCCUCGUUCCCAUCAAUCAGCUGCGGUUAUUGUCACCGAGCAAGCGUGGAGUUGCGGGGCCGUGGUGGGGGGAGAGGCUGGUAGAAGGAACAGCGAUAUUUCUGUAAGAUGCCUAAGAGUGCUCGUGUUUGUUCCUCAGCUGGAGCAAGAGCGAAACCGUGUGUAUCCAUGGUGCUAAAGUGGAGCCAUGUUGCUAUGGAUAGAGGCAAGAGGCCCUUUUCUUUUUCUGUUUUUGCUCAGGUGGUUCACACAGCGGCCAUUUUUGUUGCUCAGAGCAAAACGUCGAAGGGUAAGCUUUUAUUUUCCCCUGGCUGACUUUGUUCGCCGCUGAGCCGGGUCAACCACCUUCCCACAAUGCACAGUUCUGCGUUGCUGAGGAGCAACCAUCUUUGUUCUGCCACGGAAGACAGUGGAGUGGCUGCCAUUUUGAUUUUCGCUGUCAGAAAGGGCAACAGUUCCUUACGUUGUGAAUCACAGAUCGACGCAGGCGUCUUUCUUGUGGAAACAGAGAAAAAGAUGCCUCUUUUUUUCCCCUGCACAAGAUCAAAGUAGCCAUUUUUCCUAUGGAGGAGGAAGAAUUGUCAGAGCUGCCAGACUGCAGAUGGUGUGUUGGCCAUUUAUUUUUGAAGAACAGACAUGCUAGUUGAAGUUGCUACCUGACCUGAUAUUCCCCGCUCAGCCCAUUCAGUGCUGCUGCUCGUAAUAUGUGAAAAUGCCUGUUAAAGAAAUUAGCAGUUCAUAGUGCCACUGUAUCAAGUAAUAGUGCCACUGUAUUCUGCUCUGGUCAGACCUCACCUGGAGUACUGUGUCCAGUUCUGGGCACCACAGUUCAAGAAGGAUACUGACAAAUUGGAACAUGUUCAGAGGAGGGCAACCAAAAUGGUCAAAGGCCUGGAAACGAUGCCUUAUGAGGAAUGGCUAAGGGAGCUGGGCAUGUUUAGCCUGG